CUGCAAAAACCUAAUCCCUUCAAUCAGUGAAAGAGGGGAGGAAAGACAAAAGCCAAAAGCAAUGGGUGUGAAACUAUUCAAAGACGACGAAGAUGCACAAAACGAUGACAUAUCGAAGAUCGAAAUCAACAAAGAAUACGCUCGAAGAUUCGAGCACAACAAGAAACGGGAGGAUCUCCAGAGAUACGAGGAGCUGAAGAAGAGAGGACAUGUGGAAGAAUCUGAUGAAGAGUCGGGUGAAGAAUGUUCAUCGUCUGAUGGCGAGGAUGAAGGCUUUGAUGACAAAACGACACUCAGAAAGAAAGAUGAGGAUUUCUUUAAAGCUUUAAUAAUGGUGAGAAGCCGUGACCCCAGAUUGCAGGAAAAGGAUGUCAAGCUUUUUGAGUCUGAUGAUGAUGAAAGCAGCAAACAAGAAGAAGAAAUUGAGCAGAAAGAAAAGAAAGAUAAGAGGGCAAUGUAUUUGAAAGAUGUGGUGGCAAAACACUUAAUGGAAGAAGGUCCGGAUUUUCAGGAGUGUGUUGCUGUUAAUGAGCAGAAAAAGAAGAUAAAGAGUUAUGACGAAGAACAAGAAGAGAUAAAGAAGGCUCUUUUGGAUGCAACACUAGAAGUUGACAAUGAAGAUGAUGGGGAUUUCUUGAGAGUAAAGGAAAAAAAGGGUAAGGAUGAGGAGGAAAAAGAAGAUUUCGGUGAUGGAGAGUUUUCAAAGAAGUUGGAAGAGUACUUUGGGGAAGAUGAGAAAAUGGAUGAGAAUACGAAGUUCUUGAAGGAGUUUUUCAAGAAUAAGAUGUGGAUAGAUAAGGAGAAGACGGGUGGAGAUCUUGUGGUUGAUAAUGAGGCUGUGGAUGAGGCAUUGAGGGAUGAAGAGGAGAUUGAGAGGCAAGAAGGGUAUGAGUUGGAGUAUAACUUUAGGCACGAGGAGAAUGCAGAGGAUAGAGUGAUAGGGUACUCUAGGAAAGUAGAGGGAUCAGUGAGGAAGAAGGAGAGCAAGAGGAAGGCACAGAGGGAGAGGAAGGAGGAGAGGAUGAGGAUUGCAGAGAUGGAAAGGAAGGAGGAGUUGAAGCAUCUGAAGAAUUUGAAGAAGGAAGAAAUUACGGAGAGAAUGAAGAAGGUUAUGGAGAUUGCAGGCAUUAAGAAAGAUGAGGAGUGUCCAUUUAGUGCUAAGGAUUUGGAGGAAGAAUUUGAUCCUGAGGAGUAUGAUAAGAUGAUGAAGGCUGUAUUUGAUGAGAAGUACUAUGAUGAUGAUGAUAUGGAGUUCAAUAGUGAUAGCGAUGGAAUUGAGAAACCAGACUUUGAUAAAGAGGAUGAGUUGCUUGGACUUUCUAAAGGAUGGGAUGUGCUUGAGUCUCAUGAUGGGUUCUUGGCUGCAAGGGAAAGGAAUAAGCACAAAUUACAGAAGGGUGGGGGUAAUGGUACUGAGGGAGAAGAAGAAAUGGGAGAAGAGGAGAACGGUGAACAUAAAAAUGAAGAAGAAGAAGAAGAAGAAGAUGAUGAUGAUGAGGGCAAAGAACACAAAAAUGAAGAUGAAGAAGAUGAUGAAGAAAGGAAGGAAGAGGAGACUGAGGAAGGUAAGCGGAAGAGGAAGCGUAAAUUGUCUAUUGUUCAGAAAGCUUUACAGGAAAUGUGGGAGGAAUUUUAUAAUUUGGACUAUGAGGAUACUAUUGGAGACUUAAAAACGAGAUUUAAAUAUGUCAAGACUAAACCGAAUAGAUAUGGGUUGAAGCCUAAAGAGGUAUUGACUUUGGAUGAGAAGGAGUUGAAUCAGUAUGUGUCCUUGAAGAAGCUUGCCCCAUAUAGGGAUAAGGAAUGGAAGGUACCCAAUAGUAAGAGGUACCAGCAGAAAUUGAGGAUUAGGGAGCUUCUCAAGGAGAAGCAAAAUGGUCAAAAGGCUGGUAAGAAGAGGUCAAGAGAUGCUGCUGAGCAAUCGACUUCAAGAAUUGGUGGUGGCAAGGAAGAUAAGAAAGCAAAAUUGGAGGAUUCUGAUGGCAAUAUGCUGAAUUUAUCUAACCAGGGCAAGAGAAAGCGCCGUCCAGCAUCUAACAUAUCAGAGUCAAGGCGCAAGGCAUAUGGAAUGAUUUCUUCUAAACCAAAGAAGAACAAACUGAAGCACUGACCAACUAGAGUAAUUCGGUCUGAGGCAGUUGAGGUGAAACUAUGGAGCUGCGAUUAGAACCUCAGCCCUGCAUGAUUUUCACCCCUAGUGGUGUUGAAGCGUUGGGACCAAGCCCCAUCCUUUUCUGUAUGGUACUUAGGCAAGGGAGAAUGGCAUCCUUCGGUUGUAACAAUGUCAUUGGUUGUUACCGUGAUUGAGAAAAUAGAAUGAGAUACAGAGCACACAUACAGGAUUGAGAAAUGAUUGCUUAGCAUUGAACAAGAUACCAUUUGCAUGAUCAUGUAACGUUGCAUCUAUGAAAGUUAGAGGCAAAAGUGGACUCAGCCUCUGAGCAUGGCAUUGUUGGACAUGAGGGAGCAUUGUAUUGAUGUCAGUGAGGCUACAGAGAGGGAACCAAAGAGAUUGUCACGAGUACAUGAAAAGCAUGAACAUGCUUUGAAGAGGGGAAUGCUAUAUAUGAAGCAAUACGCUAUUAAACUGGUUACAGCAUGCGUCCGAAAAGGAUCCUGGUCUCCUGUUUGAAUUUUAACUGGAUGAAGGCAAUGAGGACGGGGAUGAUAAACACUAGAAUGGCAUGAUGAGAAGCUGGAGUUGGCAUUUUUUUGCACCAAGUAACAUCUUACCCUGAUGAUAAUGGGUUGUUGGCUAGUAAAGAUCCUUCUCCAUUCUCAGGGAACUGGAGUCGUUGCACCGUCUGCCAUUGAAUCCUGAGUAAAAAUUACAACACACUAUCCUGGGGACUAAAGCUGUGGGUUUGCAGCAUAGUCAGAACUGUUCCAUAGUGGUGAAAGCCCAAUUGAAUGAGGUUGCUGUAGGUGGAUCAUCAAAUGCUUCAGCUACAUCUCCAGUCAAAUCAGGGCGUCCAACAGCAGAAGC